rnacentral:rRNA from 1 species
GACGAACGCUGGCGGCGUGCUUAACACAUGCAAGUCGAACGGAAAGGCCCUGCUUUUGUGGGGUGCUCGAGUGGAGAAAGGGUGAGUAACACGUGAGUAACCUGUCCUUGACUUUGGGAUAACUUCAGGAAACUGGGGCUAAUAUCGGAUAGGAGCUCCUGAUGCAUGGUGGGGGUUGGAAAGUUUCGGCGGUUGGGGAUGGACUCGCGGCUUAUCAGCUUGUUGGUGGGGUAGUGGCUUACCAAGGCUUUGACGGGUAGCCGGCCUGGGAGGGUGACCGGCCACAUUGGUACUGAGGUAGGGCCCAGACUCGUACGGGGGGCAGCGGUGGGGAAUAUUGCACAAGAGGCGGAAGCCUGAUGCAGCAAAGCCGCGUGCGGAAUGACGGCCUUCGGGUAGUAAACCGCUUUCGCCUGGGACGAAGCGUGAGUGACGGUAAUGGGUAAAGAAGCACCGGCUAACUACGUG